rnacentral:rRNA from 1 species
UACGUAGGGACCGAGCGUUGUCCGGAUUCAUUGGGCGUAAAGAGCUCGUAGGCGGCUGUUCAAGUCGAACGUGAAAACUCGGAGCUCAACUCCGAGCCUGCGUUCGAUACUGGACGGCUAGAGUCUGGUAGGGGGAUCUGGAAUUCCUGGUGUAGCGGUGGAAUGCGCAGAUAUCAGGAGGAACACCGGUGGCGAAGGCGGGAUCCUGGGCCAAUUCUGACGCUGAGGAGCGAAAGCCAGGGGAGCAAACGGG